UGCUGCCGGGAUGCUCCACCAUGAACCCCCAUCACCCGCCUCUGUUCCGACCACCGCGGCUCAAUUCCGGCCAAACUUGAACCCCUCUGGACCAACAUAUACCACCAGUAGCCUCAACAUCGUCGUGCGCUGCUCCUAGACAUCCCCUGCACCACCGGAACCCCUGGAAGCCUGACUUCGUCCACACCCGGGCCUUGCCGCUGUGACUUCGUCAACUUCGGCCAGACGCACCAAAUCGAUGCCCAUGUCUUCACCCGAGGAGAACCGCCACCAGUGCCAACUCCAGCGAACUCCAGAAGUUGCGUCCGUUGUCCCCGACGACCGACUAGAGCACCAGGAGCUUUACAACAUCAAGACAAACCAAACCGUAUAGUACAUCGACUCUGCUGACCAUGGCGCCCGAUCUGUCAACCCCGAGAACGUCGCCGUUGUGCCUGUGUUCCGACGACCUAGCGCUGCUGGCAACUCACAGACGCAUUUAAAUUGGCGAUAAUUUGUAUGGAGAGGCUAGGUGGGAUUAUCUAAUUAGCCAUGUCCUUUGUACUCUACAUGGCUAAUCUCAAGAUUGAGUCCCUACACAACUACAUUUUUUUGGCCCAGAAUGCCUGUUCUUAUGACUUGGCAACCACACAUUUUUGGGCCAAGCUUGGAGCCUUUCUCUUAAAAAAUUAGUACCACCACUAAUAGAAAAAAUUCUUAAAAAAAUAUAACAUAGGUGAACGUACGUGUUUUCCUAUAUGAUGCAUUUUGCUUCAACUUGUCAUGGAAACGGACAUGAGAGAAGGAACGGACGAGUAACUGGGCCGACCCACU